CUCCCAUACCCCUGUGGACAUACCUAUAAUUUGCCUCGGCAGACUCAACGACGGUGCUCCGAGAAAUCGGGCGCCGCUCGCUGCCAGAGGAACCCCAAACUCUAUGUAUUCUUGUGGAUCUUCUGAGUAAAACAAAACAAAUAAAUCAAAACUUUCAACAACGGAUCUCUUGGUUCUGGCAUCGAUGAAGAACGCAGCGAAAUGCGAUAAGUAAUGUGAAUUGCAGAAUUCAGUGAAUCAUCGAAUCUUUGAACGCACAUUGCGCCCGCCAGUAUUCUGGCGGGCAUGCCUGUUCGAGCGUCAUUUCAACCCUCAAGCCCCCGGGCUUGGUGUUGGGGAUCGGCGAUAGUCGCCGUCCCCCAAAUCUAGUGGCGGUCUCGCUGUAGCCUCCAUUGCGUAGUAGCUAACACCUCACAACUGGAACGCGCCGCGGCCAAGCCGUUAAACCCCCAACUUCUUAAUGUUGACCUCGGAUCGGGUAGGAAUACCCGCUGAAGUUACCAAAUCACUUAGACGGAGGAA
rnacentral:rRNA from 1 species